GCUACUAGGGGAUGGUGCAGCAUCAUCAAACGAGGGGUAAACUAUCUUUGGAUAGUAAAGUUUGACAUGAUAAGUUGUACUUAUAGCUAGUUAAACAUCUUCAAUAUUUAUUACUUACUUUCCUUUCUAUGCCGGUUGGUUUAUCCAAUCGGUUUUUUG
rnacentral:sRNA from 1 species